AACGGAGGGGGCAAGCGUUAUUCAUCCUUAUUGGGCGUAAAGGGUAUGUAGGUAAUGGAAAAUUUUUCUUGAGAAACUUCAAAUUAAUAAUUUGAAAACACAUUUAAAAUUGAUAAAUUUGAGAUAUGUUAGAGGUUGAUGGAAUUACUAAAGUAAAGGUAAAAUCUUACGAUAUUAAUAAGAACACCAAAGGCGCAGGCAGUUUUCUCAAGUAUCUGACACUGAGGUACUAAAGCAUGGGAAUCAAACGGG
rnacentral:rRNA from 1 species